rnacentral:tRNA from 1 species
GGUGGUUCAGCGUUAGAGCACGUGCCUUGCAUGCAUGAGGCCCUGGGUUCGAUUUCUCAGCACCA